rnacentral:rRNA from 1 species
UACGGGGGGAGCAAGCGUUGUUCGGAUUUACUGGGCGUAAAGGGCGCGUAGGCGGCCAGCACAAGUCAGUUGUGAAAUCUCCGAGCUUAACUCGGAACGGUCAACUGAUACUGUGCGGCUAGAGUGCAGAAGGGGCAACUGGAAUUCUUGGUGUAGCGGUGAAAUGCGCAGAUAUCAGGAGGAACACCGGUGGCGAAGGCGGUUCUCUGGGAAUGUCCUGACGCUGAGGAGCGAAAGUGUGGGGAGCGAACAGG